CGACGUCCAGAAGGACUUGGAGGACAGGACUCUGGAAUUGUUGGACGUGGACAAUGCCCUGAAGGAGAGACAGGGGGAGCUGCAGCAGAGGGCUAAGCUGGUACAUUGCCCCCUAGAUCAUCAGCUGAACUUGUUCGAUGUUCUAACUGCUGCUGAUGUUUCCUCUGUGGUGACCUCAGCUCAGCCAGCUGGAUGCAGCCAUCAGAGAUCACAAGCAGGAGCUGGAGAGAAAGCUGGAGUCUCUGCAGCAGAGCCUGGAGGUCAGAGAGAAGGAGCUGAGAGAAGCUCAGAGGGAGCUUCUGAGCACCCACAAACAGGAAGAGCAGCACAGCCGGAAGCUGCGUGUGACUCAGCAGGAGCUUCAGGAGGUUCUGGGAAAGCUUGGAGAAUCUGAGCUCCACAGUGAGAGUCUGGCUAAAGAGCUGGACGCCACCAGGCUGCAAAUCAGAGAGACGGUGAAGUCGGACACCAGCUGUUCUUUCACUCAACGUAGCACUGUUAACAUCACGUGUGUGUGUGUGCAUCCAUGUGUGUGGUGCAGGAGGCCCAGCUGUGCAAUGUGGAGGAGGAGCUGACGCUGAAGGAGGCACAGUGGCUGCAGGAGAAGGCCAAGCUGCAGAGCACCAUCAGCGCCCUGGAGCAGCAGUUAGAGCUGGAGAAGGAUCAGCACAGCAAGGAGCUGGAGUCUCUGCAGCAGACCCGGGGUCAGCUCCUCAAGGUGUCGGAGCAGAUCUCCUCCUCCAUGCGCUGCUCCCAGGAGCAGCUCACCAUAAAGCUCCAGCAGUCCAAGAUCCAGCUGGAGGAAGCAGAGGCGCUCUGCAACCACACCAAAGCCCAACUAGACCAGGCUAGGAUGGAGUUGGAUUACACCCGGAAUCAGGCCAGUCACCUCCAAGCCCAGCUGGAGCAGAGCCACAUUCUGAACGAGCAGACGAGAGCUCAGAACGGUCUUCUGCUUGGCCGGGUCGAGCAGCUGACUGCAGAGUUGAACCAGGCCAGAGCCCAGGAUACCCAGCUCCAAGCUCAGCUCCACGCUUCAGAGGAGGUGGUGGAGACAUCAGCUGAUUCGCUCCUCAUUAAGGAGUCUGAGGUGACCCGCCUCCAGGCCAGGAUCUCCAGUCUGGGACGAGCCACUGAACAACAGAAUCUGUUCAACCACAUGCCCUCACUUCCUGUUCUUAACAAAUUCUCUCCUCCCCCUGAGCUCUCCACCACCUUGUGUCCAUCAUCCUCCCAACCGCUGGCAGCAGCUAACCCUGCACCUGCAUCCGUCCUUAACCCGUCCGACAGCCUUCUAAACUGUGACUGGCUCCAGAGCAGCAGCACAAACUCCUCUCUGGACUUCCCUCUGGACCUGAAAGCCACACUGAAGGAGGUGUUGAGCAAGCAGUCAUGGGAGUCCUCGGUUUGCUCCUUCCCAGAUACGGUGGACCACAGUUGGCAGGGGCUUAGCGUCACAGGAGCUUCUGACCUGUCCUUCAACCCUCUCACAUACAUGUUGGACCAACAAAACAGCACUGACCUCAGCGUGGAGGCUAAUGCCGAGCAGGAAGGAGACGAACUGCAUGGCGGGUCUAGGAGGGAGUCAACAAGCACUCUGGAGGGUCCGGAGGAGAACGCUGACUUGGUCUCACUUACAGGGAUGCUGAAAUUUGUAAAUCAGACGUUAGCCAUGCAGAAGGACCCGUCCAUAAGGAACUCCACAGGACAGGUCCAGACCUGA
rnacentral:lncRNA from 1 species